UACGUAGGGGGCAAGCGUUAUCCGGAUUUACUGGGUGUAAAGGGAGCGUAGACGGCAGUGCAAGUCUGGAGUGAAAGGCGGGGGCUCAACCCCCGGACUGCUCUGGAAACUGUACGGCUGGAGUGCAGGUGAGGUAAGUGGAAUUCCUAGUGUAGCGGUGAAAUGCGUAGAUAUUAGGAGGAACACCAGUGGCGAAGGCGGCUUACUGGACUGUAACUGACGUUGAGGCUCGAAAGCGUGGGGAGCAAACAGG
rnacentral:rRNA from 1 species